rnacentral:misc_RNA from 1 species
GGAAGGUGCGUUUGACAAAUGAUGACUGCGACGUGCCCGUCCAAGUGGCGUGGCACGUUGAGUGGAAAGCACUCACGGUUUUGCCUCAUGUAGCUAGCCUAUGCUAGCUUCAUCAAGUCCACCUCGUGUUUGCUAUUGGUCCUGGAUGCUGCAAGCGACAAAGGCCGAGUGCGCUUAGGCGUCUCGUGCCUAGCAAAGAUCGUUCGAUCGGAAACAACGACAGUUGGCCUGGCUGAAGCCUCGUGCCGAGGCUAGCGUC